rnacentral:lncRNA from 1 species
CAGGGGUGGCCAGGAGAUAGUGAGCAGCUCCCAGGAGGCAUGGAGGGAUCCAGAACCUGGACUGAAGAACCACCUAGAAAUAACUCAGCAGAAUUCUGAAAAUGAGGUCACGCUGGGUAAGAAUGCCUUUUUUUUUUUUUCAUAGUCAAAGUUAGCUAUGGAGUUUCUGUAGUAUUCACUACUCCAGACCUUUUUCAAGUUGAAUUUUUUUUCUUUUUCCCUAUGUCUGUUCUUACGUAUUUUUUUUAAACUUUUAUUUCAGUAGUGUUUGGGGAACAAGUAGUGUUUGGUUGCAUGGAAAAGUUCUUCAGUGGUGAUUUCUGAGAUUUUGGUGCACCCAUCACCCAAGGGUAGUCUUUUUUAUCCAUCAAGUCUGUACCCAAUGUGUAGUCUUUGUUUUUUUCUUUUUUUUUUUUUUGAGACUGAGUCUCAUUCUAUCACCCAGGCUGGAGUGGAGUGGUAUGAUCUUGACUCACUGCAACAUCUGCCUCCCGG